rnacentral:rRNA from 1 species
AAAGAAAGAGGGAGGAAGGUAGAACACAUGCAAGUCGAACGAGACCUUCGGGUCUAGUGGCGCACGGGUGCGUAACGCGUGGGAACCUGCCCUUAGGUUCGGAAUAACUCCCCGAAAGGGGUGCUAAUACCGGAUAAUGUCUUCGGACCAAAGAUUUAUCGCCUUUGGAUGGGCCCGCGUUGGAUUAGCUAGUUGGUAGGGUAAAAGCCUACCAAGGCGACGAUCCAUAGCUGGUCUGAGAGGAUGAUCAGCCACACUGGGACUGAGACACGGCCCAGACUCCUACGGGAGGCAGCAGUGGGGAAUAUUGGACAAUGGGCGAAAGCCUGAUCCAGCAAUGCCGCGUGAGUGAUGAAGGCCUUAGGGUUGUAAAGCUCUUUUAACCGGGAUGAUAAUGACAGUACCGGGAGAAUAAGCUCCGGCUAACUCCGUG